rnacentral:rRNA from 1 species
GACGAACGCUGGCGGCGUGCCUAAUACAUGCAAGUAGGACGCAGUUGCGAACGUGUGAGUAACGCGUAGGUAACUACCUAUUAGAGGGGGAUAACUAUUGGAAACGAUAGCUAAUACCGCAUACUAGCAGAUGGACCUGCGUUGUAUUGGAUAGUAGGUGGGGUAAUGGCCUACCUAGGCAAGGAUACAUAGCCGACCGGAGAGGGUGAUCGGCCAAACUGAGACGUGGACACGUCCCAGACUCCUACGGGAGGCAGCAGAAGGGAAUCUUCGGCAAUGGGGGGAACCCUGACCGAGCAACGCCGCGUGAGUGAAGAAGGUUUUCGGAUCGUAGAGCUCUGUUGUUAAGGAAGCGGUACUUAACCAGAAAGGGACGGCUAACUACGUGCCAGCAGCCGCGGUAAUAC